rnacentral:tRNA from 1 species
CCUGGUGGCUCAAACGGUAAAGCGUCUGCCUAUAAUGUGGGAGACCCAGGUUCAAUUCCUGGGGCAGGA